GACGAACGCUGGCGGCGUGCUUAACACAUGCAAGUCGAACGGAAAGGCCCUGCUCUUGUGGGGUGCUCGAGUGGCGAACGGGUGAGUAACACGUGAGUAACCUGCCCUUGACUUUGGGGUACCUUCAGGAAACUGGGGCUCAUACCGGAUAGGAGCUCCUGCUGCAUGGUGGGGGUUGGAAAGUUUCGGCGGUUGGGGAUGGAAUCGCGGUUCAUCAGCUUGUUGGUGGGGUAGUGGCUUACCAAGGCUUUGACGGGUAGCCGGCCUGGGAGUGUGACAGGCCACAUAGGGACUGGGGUGCGGCCCAGACGCCUACUGGAGGCAUCGGUGGGAAAUAGUGCACAAAGGGCGGAAGCCGGAAGCAGCGACUCCGCGUGGGAGAUGACUGCCGUCGGGUUGUAAACCGCGUUCGCGUGUGACGAAGCGUGAGUGACGGUAAUUGGUAAAGAAGCACCGGCUAACUACGUG
rnacentral:rRNA from 1 species